GGCUUCAUCCAAAAGAAGAGGCUGCAUAUUUUACAUCUGCUUGUAAAGACAAAAAUGGGUUUGAUGUAAAAUAUAUACAUUCAGAUCAAGGUCGUGGAGUGUUCAGCUGCCUCUCUUUUGAGAAGGGAGAUUUUCUUAUGGAAUACAGAGGGGAACUAAUAAGCAAACAUGAAUGUGACAGCAGACUGAAAAUAUAUCAUGAUGCCCUGAAAGUCUUCAUGUUUGAAUUUGGGUUAGCAAUGGAAAGCUUGUUUGUGUUGAUGCUGCUAAGGAAGAUGACUCUCUUGGAAGACUGGUGAAUGAUGAUCAUGUUAGCCCAAACAGCAAAAUGAAAACAAUCACAGUAGAGGGGAAACCCCAUCUGUGUUUAUUUGCAACAAGGAGCAUUAGUCCUAAAGAAGAGAUUACAUACAACUACGGUGACUCUGAAUGGCCAUGGAGAUGCAAGACAGCAAAUAAGAAAGACCAACUGCAACCUCAAGAACAGCUGAUGCAGCAGAUCAGGUUGUUCCUGAAGAAGGACCCUCUCCCAGUGCCACAAUAGUGACCCAUUCACCUGUCAAAGAGAUGACACCGGUCAUUUGCAUGUACAUACUAAUACAUAGAACAUGGCUGAGACUCUGGUCACAACUAACCCACUGCUGACAGUUAAGGACCCAUCGCAGCUUGAGGAGCAGCAGGUUCCAAGAGAAGGGACGCUAAAGAACUGUAAACAUGAGAUGGUCCUUGUGACUGUUUCAAGCAUGAACAAAUGUGUUGCAUGUGUUGGACCUGUUGCAUCACUCAAGUGGAUUGGUCUGAGAUGUAAAGUUUGCUGUUGUUUUUGAAAAAUUAGAAAAAGAUCAUACAGAUCUGGUGCCAAGGGAGGAAAGGAAUUCUAGUUCUGAUGAGGAUAGGUCACUAUCAGAAGAAGAAUAUGUGCCAGAGUCAGACAGUGAAUCAGACAGUUCAGUGGAAUUUGCAAUAGAAUGUGGAAAGAAGGCUCAAAACAACACUUUGAAGUUGGUCCCAAAUUAUGCAAGCAAAGGCAAUGGCAAACCGUGCCUGAAAGAUCGGGAAGAAGCUUGUUUGAAUGAAGAAUCUGAGUUUUGUUAUGAGGAGCAGUUGACAAAUGUAGACUCGGAUGAUGAAUCAGACAGCACCAGUGAAUUUGAAGAUGUAUCUGCAAGUAAAGUUAAGGUCAAAUCAAACUCUGUUGUCAUGCGG